CACGUAGUUAGCCGGUGCUUAUUCUUCAGGUACCAUCAUUAGCGAAGGAUAUUAGCCUCCACCGUUUCUUCCCUGACAAAAGAGCUUUACAACCCGAAGGCCUUCUUCACUCACGCGGCAUUGCUGGAUCAGGCUUGCGCCCAUUGUCCAAAAUUCCCCACUGCUGCCUCCCGUAGGAGUCUGGACCGUGUCUCAGUUCCAGUGUGGCUGGUCGUCCUCUCAGACCAGCUACUGAUCGUGGCCUUGGUGAGCCUUUACCUCACCAACUAGCUAAUCAGAUAUCGGCCGCUCCAGGAGCACAAGGCCCGAAGGUCCCCUGCUUUCAUCCUUGGAUCGUAUGCGGUAUUAGCGUAACUUUCGCUACGUUACUCCCCCACUCUUGGGUACGUUCCGAUAUAUUACUCACCCGUUCGCCACUCGCCGCCAGGUUCGCCCCGCGCUCGCCGUUCGACUUGCAUGUGUAAGCAUGCCGCAGCGUUCAUCUGA
rnacentral:rRNA from 1 species